AUUGAACGCUGGCGGCAGGCCUAACACAUGCAAGUCGAACGAGUGGCGGACGGGUGAGUAAUGUCUGGGAAACUGCCUGAUGGAGGGGGAUAACUACUGGAAACGGUAGCUAAUACCGCAUACCAUCAGAUGUGCCCAGAUGGGAUUCGCUUGUUGGUGGGGUAACGGCUCACCAAGGCGACGAUCCCUAGCUGGUCUGAGAGGAUGACCAGCCACACUGGAACUGAGACACGGUCCAGACUCCUACGGGAGGCAGCAGUGGGGAAGAUUCGGCAAUGGGCGCAAGCCUGAUGCAGCAAUGCCGCGUGAGUGAAGAAGGCCUUCGGGUUGUAAAGUACUGUCAGCAGGGAGGCGUUACCCAAACAGGAAGCACCGGCUAACUCCGUGCCAGCAGCCGCGGUAAUUC
rnacentral:rRNA from 1 species